rnacentral:rRNA from 1 species
GCUUGUCUCAAAGAUUAAGCCAUGCAUGUCUAAGUGUAAAUACGUCUACACUGUGAAACUGCGAAUGGCUCAUUAAAUCAGUUAUCGUUUAUUUGAUGAUCUCUUGUUACAUGGAUAACCGUAGUAAUUCUAGAGCUAAUACAUGCGUCAAGCCCCGACUCACGAAGGGGUGUAUUUAUUAGAUUCAAAGCCAACCGUGUAAAAGCGUACCUUGGUGAUUCAUAAUAACUGAGCGAAUCGCAUGGCCUUGUGCCGGCGAUGGUUCAUUCAAGUUUCUGCCCUAUCAGCUUUCGAUGGUAGGGUAUUGGCCUACCAUGGCGUUAACGGGUAACGGAGAAUUAGGGUUCGAUUCCGGAGAGGGAGCCUGAGAAACGGCUACCACAUCCAAGGAAGGCAGCAGG